AUGCUUCGCUCGAGAUUCAUCGAGAUUCAGGCGGGUUGGCGAUGCGCCGACGGGGUCUUGCGCUUGCUGUUUUCGAUGGCAUUCAACAGUUUCGUCGCCGCCGCGGUGGCGGUCACGCCGGUGUGGUUCGGCCUGUCCGAAGCCACAUCCUGAGUGGCUCGCGGCGAUCAUCAAAAUGAUGAUGAUGAUUUCAUGGAUGCACCGCAGCAGAAUCGGGCAACUGGACGGAGAAAAGACGACGAUGAGAAGAAGAAACGUACUCGCAAUAGGGCUUCGCAGGAACGCCUGACUUCAUUGACCGGCAGAUUUACCGACGAUCAGAAGGGAGCUGCUGCUGAGAUGGGUAUGCAGGCACUGAUGGAUGUCCGGUGCAAGAAUCUAGUGAACCAUGUAUGCGACUGGCUUGGUGAGAUUUACGACCCCGCCUCCAGGGAAUUUGUGAUUCCGGGAUGUGGAAGACUGUCGUUGGACGAGGAGUCCGUGUUCUGCACUUUAGGUGUGCCCCGUGGGAAAAUCAAAGUCCCGUAUGAGGUCAAUAAUAAGAUCGAGGAAAUGUUGUUUCCCCGUUUGUUUCCUGGGUUGGAAUCCAUGCCGAACACGAUUUUCCUGGCAGAUUCGCUGCAGGCCAUGACAACCCAUGAAGAGGUUUUUAAGAUGAAGCUACUCAUGUACCUCAUCUCAGCUGUUUUCGCGCCGACCACUUUUCUUCGCCCAAGCAAUAAAUGCUUCCCCAUCCUGGCGAAACUAAAAGAUGUGAAGAACAUGAAUUGGUGUAAGUUCAUUGCUGACUUCCUGCAUGAUGCAUUCUCAAACAAGAUGUACCACAAGGGUUGUCGACUGCAUUUAAUGCUCAUGUACGUAGACUGUCUUGAUCUGUCCACUGUGGACUUCACUGGAACAGGAGGCCCGCCGCCUACACACAAGUUUGUUGUUUCUGUAUGGACUUACGAUGCUGUCAAGGCUGUGCUUGCUGCAGAUAGGGUAACUGAUACCAAAUAUGGGAAACUGCAGCUGAUGGCCAAGCAUGCUAUAGACUACAGCGUGUUUGGGGGGCCUCAAAAUUUUGGAAAGUGGAUGGACGUGCACUCAGCUCCGUCUUGCCCUACUGAGUUUGCAUCCGGAAUGACCAGCUUGCUUGGGAAGCUGGUUGAGGGUUGGACGUCCCUCAAUGGCUCUGGCAGAGACGCGGUUGCGAGGCGGUUCACUACAUUUGUUGUAGAACGGACACAUCGGCCAACUGGUUGUCGUGGCCGGUACGACUACAACAGUUCCCAAGAGCUUGCUGACACACAAGAUGAACUAGAUGGAGAUGCUGCUCUCAACAAGGACGAUGACGAUGACAUGGAGAACGUGCAGCACGACACCGAUGAUGAUGAACAUGUUGAAGUUCGUGCAGGUGGUAAGAAGGGCAAGGCUGCACCAGAUGUCCCCUCACCGGAGAAAGUCAAAGAACAUACAGCUGCGAGAGGCGAGGGAGUGUUGCCCUCAAAGAGGGAGAGGGCUCCAGAGGAUGUUGGGCAGGGUUCUCCUGGCAAGAGGGUGAAGAAGACUACUACACGCGUGACCAAGCAUAUCAUUAGGGACCCACUCGAACACCUUCAUUCAAAGUUGUCGACAGGUGGCAACUCAGAUGUUCAUGAGGCGCCAGUCGACAAAACUGCUGCUGCACCAUCAACUGUUCCCACUAGCUCUGACGCAAGCGGCCGACAAUCUCCGCCGGUUGCAGAUGUGCAGGCUACAACAACAGGCAUCCGUACAUCGGGGAGUGACGAGUCGGUAUCUGCCAGGACUACUGAAAUAUUGCCCACUCUGCUGGCAAUGAAGGAUGCUGCUGUGAGCCAUGCCACCCCAUCAGCAAGCGUUGAAGUGGACGCCCCCGAGACCAACCUAAGCGAGGAAGAUUCCCGCUCAUCUGACACGGAUUCCAAGCGCGUGCGUGGUGGCACUACUGUGUCCAUGACAGAAGUGGCUGAGGCGACAGUUCAUAGUGAUAUGCCAUCCACAGGUGAGAGUCUUGGCACAACAGCUCCAGCUCCUGGUGGUGCAGAGGUUGCUAAGGCGACUGUUUUGCGAGCUGGUCUUCCACCUAGGCGUCGUAGCCCCCGCAAGCAAUCAACAGACAUACCCAACGCACCGGCUGUAGCUAGGAGCAGCAGAGAUGAGUCUGGUUAUGUUCCUGCGUCCACACUAUUCCCACCACCUGCCAAAAUCAAUGUUAUGGAGAAACCGGAAGACCGGAGUACAACUGAUGCGGGUGUCAAGCCGGGCACGAGUGAUGGAGGUGAACAUCCGAAGCAGACUGCGUCUUUACCCGCAGUGGAGAACCCCAACUUAAAUCUGCCCACUUCCAAACUCCCAGUCAAUGUUGGUGUCCCCUACAGCCCAAACAAGAAGGUUGUCAAGAAAGCUGCGGCUGAUACCGCUGACAACACGCCCCGCCCUAUGAAUAAGCCCGAUGAUUCUGCAGCGGUCGAUUCAGAUAUGUUUGUUGAUCUUUCAUCCUUGGAUUCUGCCCCGCAAGUUGUUCGCGGUCUGGCCAGUAGGCAUGAGAGGCACCCAAUGGCCUUCACCCCACCGAGCUUUAGCCUUGGAAUCAGUCAGGAUCAACCAGUGGUGCAAGAUCCUACGCCAGUUACCUUUGCUUUCCCGGGAGGCAUGGCUGCAAUGAUGGCGCACCCAAUGGUCGAGGGCAGGAAGGCUGUCAAGUUCGCAGAGCCGAUCGUCCAAGUUUACCGCAGGAUUGAGGAGGCAGCAUUGCAGAGGAGGUCCUCACGAGGUCAGGGGCAAUCAAGUUCCAACGUGCCUGCUGAGACGGUAUCUGAGGAUACCAUUAGAAGUGCCACCCCUGGUUCUGUGAAGCAGCAGAGGGUAGUUCACCCACCUCCCGCGGAUGACUACGAGCCCGAAGUCAAGGCCACAAAGGAGCAAAACCAGCUGUACGAUAUUGUCAAGCGAUUUGGAAAUGUGAGGGCCAGCAGCAAGCACAUGAAGGAGCUGAAAGUAACCAAGGUCAUACAAUGCGAAGCGACGUACGUCGACCUGGGUGAUCUUGCCAUGUCCGUGAGGCCACUCGGUAAAAUGUCGACGAAUGUAGUUGCAUGUGGGAUUGACUUCAUCAACAGGCAUAUGGAUAUGUCUCUCGACAAAACAAUCAUGCAUUACAGUGUGACCUGCAAAAUAUGGGAUGGUGACUUCCACCACAAAAUCCUGAGGAAGUAUUUUGCUGCGCACGGUGAAUUCAAGCUCACAAUGAAGAAAUGUGUCCUGUUCCCCAUGUUCCAGGAUCUUGCACCACAUGACCCACACGACAAGUGUGGUCACCACUACGCGAUCUUCCUUGACAUGAAGAACCAACGUUUUGAGGUGCUUGAUUCAAUGCAUUCGGCAGCUGAUGCAGACCUUACUACGCAUGAUGAAUACUUCAUCAACAACCUCAAAGAGAUAUGGAACCGUCACUACGAACACUCAAAGGUCCAAAUCAGACAUUUUCCAAUUGAGACGGACUGUGGCUUCCACACGUUGGAAUACCUUGCAAAGUGGGAAGGUAGACUGGUUCCUGUUGUCACAGUUGCAAUGGUCAUUGAGCUCCGGAAAAUUUACACAUGGAACUGGUUGACAAAUGAAGAUUUCAACACGUGGUCCGGAGCACGUGAGUUCGUAGAGGAAGCUGUCAAGAAAGUCACCAAGAAGUACAAGUGA
rnacentral:rRNA from 1 species